GGCUGAAAGCAAUGAUGUUGCCAUUCAUCCUUUCACGUAUUCAUUAUGGUCUACAGCUGAGAAGGGCUAUUUGGGGUUUGCUUUGCCUGAUGGUAGCAGAAGAAAACCAAGAGGCCUCUCUACGAAAGCUUGCAGUAAGGAGAAAGUUCUGGAGACUGGGAAGAGCAACACAAAGAUAUUCAUUUGCUUGGUGAGAGCUGCUCUCUGCUUCCAAGGUAGCACCUUGUUGCUGCAUUCUCCAGUGGGAAGGAACGCUGGGUCCUCACAUGACAGAAGGUGGAAAGGGUUCUUUUCCUACUGGGGCUCUUAGAGGAUGCUGAGUAAAACUGGAAUCGAGCAGGAGUUUUAACAGCAAGGGGAAAAUGUUCCAGCCACUGUAGCUGGGAUACAUUGUAUUCCUCCUCAAGUCUACCAAAGAAAGACUUGAUUCUGAGAAAUCUCCCCAGAAAAUUGUCAGCUUCCCAGACUCUGCUUCCACAUGACCUGUGACAGACGUAAUUGGGCAUGGGCGAGGCGAUGCCACAGUGUGACUUUUUGCAUCUUCAGAAAGACACACAUAAACAGGAAGUCCUGGGAAGAGAAGAUAUUAGCUGUGUCUUUCUACCACCCAGAGGCUUCACCUCUAUCAUGCUUCUAAAAUAAAAUACCAGGUUGAUGUUCUGACCAUGGGCCAUAAACCAGGGUUAAGGAAGCCCAAGGAGACUGGUCUUCUUCCCAAGGCAUCCUCUCUUCUUUGUUAAGGACACUCCACAG
rnacentral:lncRNA from 1 species